ACUUCAUGAUUUGGGAAUUGGGCCAAUUUUCCAUUAAGCCAUUCCCAAGCUUCAAAUAAUGGCUCUCCAUUCAUUUGCUGAAAAUUAACAAUCUCAUACCAUUUUUAAAGCU
rnacentral:snoRNA from 1 species